rnacentral:rRNA from 1 species
GACGAACGCUGGCGGCGUGCUUAACACAUGCAAGUCGAACGGUAAGGCCCUUCGGGGUACACGAGUGGCGAACGGGUGAGUAACACGUGGGUGAUCUGCCCUGCACUUUGGGAUAAGCCUGGGAAACUGGGUCUAAUACCGGAUAGGACUCCGGACUGCAUGGUCUGGGGUGGAAAGCUUUUGCGGUGUGGGAUGGGCCCGCGGCCUAUCAGCUUGUUGGUGGGGUGAUGGCCUACCAAGGCGACGACGGGUAGCCGGCCAGAGAGGGUGACCGGCCACACUGGGACUGAGAUACGGCCCAGACUCCUACGGGAGGCAGCAGUGGGGAAUAUUGCACAAUGGGCGCAAGCCUGAUGCAGCGACGCCGCGUGAGGGAUGACGGCCUUCGGGUUGUAAACCUCUUUCAGUAGGGACGAAGCGCAAGUGACGGUACCUACAGAAGAAGGACCGGCCAACUACGUGCCAGCCGCCGCUGUAA